GUACUUUCCCUCUUCCUUCUGAGGUUGCUGUCCAGCCCAACGCCUGUCCGGAGUCGGGCUUACCUGCCGCUCCUUUCCCGGGAGAACUGGUGUCCGGUGUAAAGAGCGACCGGCGAACGCGCUCCCGGCCCGGUGAAAAGUGCUAAUUACCGAGGAGCGGCUGGGAGCGGACGGCGCGGGGAGCUGAGGUUCCCCAGGGGUGGGGGUCUUUUACCUCAAGGGGAUCGGCCCCGGGGGAUUGGAAGAGAGAAGGGGUAUCCCCAUCCUUGAGCGCCUGGAUAGAAAACCCUGCCCAGGGCUGAGAUCUUUGGGAGACGCUGCUGCUCGCCCCAACCAAACUUUUCUAGGACACACAUCCCUGCCGAAAACGAAUUUAGACGCGGUGUCCACGUUUGGCAAGGAAUUGUUGCAGAGGAAGGCUGUGGUCCUUAAUCCCUCAGAACAGAUACCUCACAAGGCUCUAAGCAGUUCGUGUAAACACAAAGGUUGUGCGCAAAUCACACUUGAAAUACAUCAGAGACACCCCCACCCCCUCCCCCAGAACUCCCAACUGUCUGCGAGUCAGAAAAGGACCCGAUCAAACUCAGGACGACAGGCGCUUCACCUCUCCAGAGCGCAGCAGAAUCCCGACCAGCCGCACCAGCCCCGGCGAACCAGAGCAUGUUAAUCUAUUUAUAUGGAUUAUUACAGAGGAGCAGCGGGCGUUGAGUCACCAAAACAUUUGCUUCAAAAGACCAUUUCUAAGCACUUUCGGAGGAGGCAGGCUCCAGACGCGUAAACUGGGCUACGCACUAACGAGCGACGGCUUUUCCAAUACUGCAAACUCCAGCUAAGUCUCCGGUACCGCGGAGAAAGCAGUGGAAAGAACUGCUCGGGAGUGGGAGUAGAUCCUAGUCUAGACACACACACACACGCACACACACACGCAAAGAUUCCCGCGGAGACGGCACCAAAAUUCUGACAUUACGAGAGUACGGC
rnacentral:lncRNA from 1 species